rnacentral:rRNA from 1 species
CUCCGGUUGAUCCCGCCGGACCCGACUGCUAUCAGAGUGGGACUAAGCCAUGCGAGUCAACAUAGCAAUAUGUGGCAUACGGCUCAGUAACACGUAGUCAACAUGCCCAGGGGACGUGGAUAACCUCGGGAAACUGAGGAUAAACCGCGAUAGGUCAUCACUUCUGGAAUGGGUAAUGACUUAAAUCUAUAUGGCCCCUGGAUUGGACUGCGGCCGAUCAGGCUGUUGGUGAGGUAAUGGCCCACCAAACCUGUAACCGGUACGGGCUCUGAGAGGAGGAGCCCGGAGAUGGGCACUGAGACAAGGGCCCAGGCCCUAUGGGGCGCAGCAGGCGCGAAACCUCUGCAAUAGGCGAAAGCUUGACAGGGUUACUCUGAGUGAUUUCCGUUAAGGAGAUCUUUUGGCACCUCUAAAAAUGGUGCAGAAUAAGGGGUGGGCAAGUCUGGUGUCAGCCGCCGCGGUAAUACCAGCACCCCGAGUGGUCGGGACGAUUAUUGGGCCUAAAGCAUCCGUAGCCGGUCCUGCAAGUCUUCCGUUAAAUCCAGCUGCUCAACAGAUGGGCUGCGGGAGAUACUACAGGGCUAGGAGGCGGGAGAGGCAAGCGGUACUUUAUGGGUAGGGGUAAAAUCCGCUGAUCCAUAGAAGACCACCAGUGGCGAAGGCGGCUUGCCAGAACGCGCUCGACGGUGGGGGAUGAAAGCUGGGGGAGCAAACCGGAUUAGAUACCCGGGUAGUCCCAGCUGUAAACGAUGCAGACUCGGUGAUGGGUUGGCCUCGCGCCUGCCCAGUGCCGCAGGGAAGCCGUUAAGUCUGCCGCCUGGGGAGUACGGUCGCAAGACUGAAACUUAAGGGAUUGGCGGGGGAGCA